ACCAUAGAACUGCUUCCAAAACUGAGUACCUAGAAUAUGGGAGAGGUAGAUGGAAUUUCUGGUGUAGGGGUAAAAUCCGUAGAGAUCAGAAGGAAUACCGAUUGCGAAGGCGAUCUACUGGAACAUUAUUGACGCUGAGACGCGAAAGCGUGGGGAGCAAACAGGAUUAGAUACCCUGGUAGUCCACGCCCUAAACGAUGUACAUUAGUUGUUGCUAUGCUAGACAUAGCAGUAAUGCAGUUAACACAUUAAAUGUACCGCCUGGGGAGUACGGUCGCAAGAUUAAAACUCAAAGGAAUAGACGGGGACCCGCACAAGCGGUGGAGCAUGUGGUUUAAUUCGACGAUACGCGAAGAACCUUACCUGGCCUUGACAUAGAAAGAAUUUAGCAGAGAUGUAAAAGUGCUAGUUUACUAGAGCUUUCAUACAGGUGCUGCACGGCUGUCGUCAGCUCGUGUCGUGAGAUGUUAGGUUAAGUCCUGCAACGAGCGCAACCCUCGUGUUUAGUUACUAACAGAUUAUGCUGAGGACUCUAGACAUACUGCCUGGGCAACCAGGAGGAAGGUGAGGACGACGUCAAGUCAUCAUGGCCCUUACGGCCAGGGCUACACACGUGCUACAAUGGGGUAUACAAAGAGCAGCGAUACCGCGAGGUGGAGCAAAUCUCAUAAAAUAUCUCCCAGUUCGGAUUACACUCUGCAACUCGAGUGUAUGAAGUUGGAAUCGCUA
rnacentral:rRNA from 1 species